CGCCCAACAGCUAGCCCCCUCCCACCAAAAACAACAAAUCCCCAUAAAUAACCCCUAACACACCAACCUCCUCUCAAACAAAUCAUUUUUCCUCCCUAGUACAGGCGAUAGAAAAGGAACUGUGGAGCAACAGAAAAAGUACCGCAAGGGAAAGCUGAAAGAGAAAUGAAACAACUCAGUAAAGCACAUAAAAGCAGAGAUACAGCCUCGUACCUUUUGCAUCAUGACUUAGCUAGUAAUCCCCAAGCAAAGAGCACUUUAGUUUGGUACCCCGAAACUGAGCGAGCUACUCCAAGACAGCCUAUUAAUAGGGCAAACCCGUCUCUGUGGCAAAAGAGUGGGAAGAGCUUUGAGUAGAGGUGACAGACCUACCGAGCCCAGUUAUAGCUGGUUGCCUGAGAACUGGAUAGAAGUUCAGCCUCCCGGCUUCUUUUCUCACUUUUUGUCUUACUCCCUUUUGACAUGAAGAAACCGAGAGAGUUAGUCAAAGGGGGUACAGCCCCUUUGAUACAAGACACAACUUUCAUAGAAGGGUAAAGAUCAUAAUCAACCCAAAGGCAGUAUGUUUUAGUGGGCCUAAAAGCAGCCAUCCCUACAGAAAGCGUUAAAGCUCAAACAUAGCCCAACCCCUCCCUAUCCUGAUAAUUUUAUCUCAACCCCCUUCAACCUACCAGGCCGUCCCAUGCAGACAUGGGAGUGACCAUGCUAACAUGAGUAAUAAGAGAACACAACCUCUCUCCCCGCACACGUGUAAAUCGGAACGGACCCCCCACCGAACCUUAACCGGCCCCAAACAAAGAGGGUACUGAACAACAGACCAAACAACCAGAAAACCACCCAAUAACACAACCGUUAACCCCACACUGGUGUGCACCCAAGGAAAGACUAAAAGAAAGAGAAGGAACUCGGCAAACACAUCUACAAGCCUCGCCUGUUUACCAAAAACAUCGCCUCUUGCAAAAUCAAUGAAUAAGAGGUCCCGCCUGCCCUGUGACUCUAAGUUUAACGGCCGCGGUAUUUUGACCGUGCGAAGGUAGCGCAAUCACUUGUCUUUUAAAUGGAGACCUGUAUGAAUGGCAUAACGAGGGCUUAGCUGUCUCCUCUUUCAAGUCAAUGAAAUUGAUCUCCCCGUGCAGAAGCGGGGAUACGUACAUAAGACGAGAAGACCCUAUGGAGCUUUAGACACCAAGGCAGCCCAUGUUAAAAACUCUUAAACAAAAGACCAAACCAAAUGAAACCUGCCCUAAUGUCUUUGGUUGGGGCGACCGCGGGGAAACACAAAACCCCCACGUGGAAUGAGAACACCUCCUCUCACAACUAAGAGCUCCCGCUCUAAUAAACAGAAAUUCUGACCAAUUAGAUCCGGCAUAAGCCGAUCAACGGACCGAGUUACCCUAGGGAUAACAGCGCAAUCCCCUUUUAGAGGCCAUAUCGACAAGGGGGUUUACGACCUCGAUGUUGGAUCAGGACAUCCUAAUGGUGCAGCCGCUAUUAAGGGUUCGUUUGUUCAACGAUUAAAGUCCUACGUGAUCUGAGUUCAGACCGGAGUAAUCCAGGUCAGUUUCUAUCUAUGAAGUGAUCUUUUCUAGUACGAAAGGACCGAAAAGAAGAGGCCCCUACUACAAGUACGCCUCACCCCUACCUAAUGAAAACAAAUAAAAUAGGCAAAAGGGCAUGACCCGCUAUGUCUGAAAGAACGACAU
rnacentral:rRNA from 1 species